rnacentral:rRNA from 1 species
GUAGGGAGCGAGCGUUAUCCGGAAUUAUUGGGCGUAAAGAGUGCGUAGGCGGUUUAUUAAGUCUGAUGUGAAAGCCCCCGGGCUUAACCGGGGGAGGGUCAUUGGAAACUGGUAGACUUGAGUACAGUAGAGGCAAGUGGAAUUCCAUGUGUAGCGGUAAAAUGCGUAGAUAUAUGGAGGAACACCAGUGGCGAAGGCGGCUUGCUGGGCUGGAACUGACGCCGAGGCACGAAAGCGUGGGGAGCAAACAGGAUUAGAUACCCUGGUAGUCCACGCCGUAAACGAUGGGCACUAAGUGUUGGCAGAGAUGUCAGUGCUGUAGUUAACGCAUUAAGUGCCCCGCCUGGGGAGUACGGUCGCAAAGACUGA